rnacentral:rRNA from 1 species
UACAAGGGAUGCAAGCGUUAUCCGGAAUUAUUGGGCGUAAAGCGUUUGUAGGCGGGCGAGUGUGUUUAAUGUUAAAUCUUAAAGCUCAACUUUGAAAUUGCGUUAAAAACUGCUUGUCUUGAGUAUGGUAGGGGUAAAGGGAAUUCCCAGUGUAGCGGUGAAAUGCGUAGAUAUUGGGAAGAACACUAAACAGCGAAGGCACUUUACUAGGCUAAUACUGACGCUGAGAAACGAAAGGUAAGGUAGCGAAACGGAUUAGAUACCCGUGCAGUCUUACCCGUAAACUAUGGACACUAAACGGUAAAUUUUUAAUUUACUGUUAAAGCUAACGCGUUAAGUGUCCCGCCUGGGGAGUAUGCUUGCAAAAGUGAAACUCAAAGGAAUUGACGGGGGCCCGCACAAGCGGUGGAGCAUGUGGUUUAAUUCGACGGUACACGAAGAACCUUACCAGGAUUUGACAUGCUAGAUAGUUGCUUGAAAGAGUAACGUGCCGUAAGGAAUCUAGACACAGGUGGUGCAUGGCUGUCGUCAGUUCGUGUUGUGAAAUGUUGGGUUAAGUCCCGCAACGAACGCAACCCUUGUCUUUAGUUAUUUUCUAAAGAGACUGCCUGUAAUAAACAGGAGGAAGGUAAGGAUGAGGUCAAGUCAUCAUGCCCCUUAUGUCCUGGGCUACACACGUGCUACAAUGGGAAAGACAAUGAGCUGCAAAUCUGUAAAUUUAAGCAAAUCUCUUAAACUUUCUCGUAGUUCGGAUUGUGGGCUGCAACUCGCCCACAUGAAGUUGGAAUCGCUAGUAAUCGCCAGUCAGCUAUAUGGCGGUGAAUCCGUUCCCGGGCCU